ACGACCUUACUUGAACAGGAUCUGUUCUAUAGGCUCGUACCUCUGUAUCCUUGAGUUCUAAGGAGACAUGAACCUAAGUCUGGUUGAUGAGGCAUAGCCAUACGAUCAGAGCGUGAUUAACAGCUCUGAUGUGUCCAUUUCGUACUCACCAAGCAGUAGAGGAUCGCUCCCAUGGUUGGUUCCAAUCUUGGGAUGGUCGUGUGGUUGUCUGACAGACU